CCUACGGGCGACAGCAGUGGGGGAUAUUGCACAAUGGGGGAAACCCUGAUGCAGCCACGCCGCGUGAGUGAAGAAGUAUUUCGGUAUGUAAAGCCUUAUCAGACGGGAAGAAAAUGCCAGUACCUGACCAAGAAGCCCCGGCUAACUACGUGCCGGCAGCCGCGGUAAUGCGUAGGGGGCAAGCGUUAUCCGGAUUUACUGGGUGUAAAGGGAGCGUAGGCGGUUAUGUAAGUCUGGAGUGAAAGCCCGGGGGCCAACCCCGGGACUGCUUUGGAAACUGUGUAACUGGAGUACAGGAGGGGCAGGCGGAAUUCCUGGUGUAGCGGUGAAAUGCGUAGAUAUCAGGAGGAACACCGGCGGCGAAGGCGGCCUGCUGGACUGAAACUGACACUGAGGCUCGAAAGUGUGGGUAUCAAACAGGAUUAGAUACCCGAGUAGUC
rnacentral:rRNA from 1 species